UACGUAGGGGGGCAAGCGUUGUCCGGAUUUAUUGGGCGUAAAGAGCGUGUAGGCGGCUUUACAGGUCCGUUGUGAAAACUCGAGGCUCAACCUCGAGACGCCGGUGGAAACCGUAAAGCUAGAGUCCGGAAGAGGAGAGUGGAAUUCCUGGUGUAGCGGUGAAAUGCGCAGAUAUCAGGAGGAACACCAAUGGCGAAGGCAGCUCGCUGGGACGGUACUGACGCUGAGGCGCGAAAGCGUGGGGAGCAAACAGG
rnacentral:rRNA from 1 species